AUCGGAGAUCAGGAGAAUUGAAAUAUACAUACAUAGAAGACAUAAAAUAGACCUUCCUAUAUACCCAAGCUCGUUUUCUACGUACUUAUACGUACGUCCCGACAGCGUGGAACGCGAAAUAAGAAUCAGUCACGAAUACACGAUUUCGACCACAAGCUGUAUAGAACGAGGAAAGAAUUGUGGGAAGGGAGAAGAAGAAAUGGAGUAGAGAAAGAAAGAAGGAAGAUAAUAAAAAAUGUGUGCUACAGCGGGUGAAAACACGACAGACAAAAAAAAAAAAAAAUUUAAGAGAGAAAUAACGUAAACGAAAUUUAAAGGUCCUCACGAGUCAUUUACGGAAAUUCGUUAGUUUUUCUUUUCCUUGUUUGUCCUAUUUU